UCUCUGUUUACUGUCAAAACUUGAAAGCUGAGGGCCUGUUAUGCCAUAUUGAAUCUUCUCCAUUGAUCUGACCUGAAUCUGACUGAUUCAUUUACAUGAUUUGUCUAUAUAUUAUUUGUUUCUCACUUUUUCUCCAGCUUGCUUAAUGACCAUAAGAAUAUACUUCACAGGUUAUUGGACUAGUAUCUAAAGGCAUUGACAACUGGGGACACAUGACCAAAGUGAGUUGGAAAGAACAUAAGCAAGAAUAAGUGUUGCUGCAUCCUUAAAUUUCACAGCCUUCUCAAGAAAAUCUAUCACAACUAGUAUAUCAGAGCCUCUGAGGUAUUGUGUUGGUAAGAGUAAUAAAUUAAAUUUAAUAAAAUAAUUUGCUACAUAUAUUGUAAUAAAUUGUAUUAAAAAGAAACAAUUAGCACGGUGA